rnacentral:rRNA from 1 species
CUGAACCAGCCAAGUAGCGUGAAGGAUGACUGCCCUAUGGGUUGUAAACUUCUUUUAUACGGGAAUAAAGUGGAGUAUGCAUACUCCUUUGUAUGUACCGUACGAAUAAGGAUCGGCUAACUCCGUGCCAGCAGCCGCGGUAAUACGGAGGAUCCGAGCGUUAUCCGGAUUUAUUGGGUUUAAAGGGAGCGUAGGCGGGUGCUUAAGUCAGUUGUGAAAGUUUGCGG